UCGGUCUGACGGCUGUGACACAGAUACUUAGGUUUGCCCCGCUGUCCACUAAUUGGUGCCUCCAGUGAGAGCCAUUGACCUGCUCUACCUUUUAUUUCUUUAUUCAUCUAGUGCUUCUUUUUUUUCUUUACAAUUUUACAUCUCUCUCUGCUCUUCAGUCAUGUGGUGUUGGCAAACUCCAAAUGCUACAACACCAGAUUAAGGCUCCAUUUUAUUAAAGGCAUGUCUUUCUACUUCAGCUCUACUAAAGAGGUGAUGGUUGACAAGUUUCUCCCUUUGUCUCUCCGAGUCAAUUCAAUUCAAGCACAGCAGAAACAGCGUACUGCCCACUGUGAGCAAAAGGAGCAACAGCAAGGGGGCUGGAGUGCAAUAAUCCAAAGUGGAAGCAUUCCCAUAUUGGUCCAACAUUUCUGAAGGGCCAAGUUGUUUCAGACAUUACGGUGUAAGGCGGUGAGCAGUGAGAGCACAGCCCAGGCCGACAGACAAUGACCACUCUGUCUCACUGCAGCUCUUUGGCGGGAAAGCAGGAAGACUCCUGUCAUUCCCCUGGAUGAUGAGAAUCCUACAGGUGCACGCAGUUCCGGGCUCGGGGUGUGACACAACCUACGCUUCUGGCUCGGUUGUUCAUCUUCCUCAUCAGAAAAGGUCCGGUCCACAGAGAUGCCAUGGCACACCAGAUUACGACCUCCAUACAACACAUAGAUAUAGAUGUAU